UGGGGAAUUUUGGACAAUGGGGGAAACCCUGAUCCAGCCAUCCCGCGUGUGCGAUGAAGGCCUUCGGGUUGUAAAGCACUUUUGGCAGGAAAGAAACGUCAUGGGUUAAUACCCCGUGAAACUGACGGUACCUGCAGAAUAAGCACCGGCUAACUACGUGCCAGCAGCCGCGGUAAUACGUAGGGUGCAAGCGUUAAUCGGAAUUACUGGGCGUAAAGCGUGCGCAGGCGGUUCGGAAAGAAAGAUGUGAAAUCCCAGAGCUCAACUUUGGAACUGCAUUUUUAACUACCGGGCUAGAGUGUGUCGGAGGGAGGUGGAAUUCCGCGUGUAGCAGUGAAAUGCGUAGCUAUGCGGAGGAACACCGAUGGCGAAGGCAGCCUCCUGGGAUAACACUGACGCUCAUGCACGAAAGCGUGGGGAGCAAACAGG
rnacentral:rRNA from 1 species